AUUUAGUCUACGUCUAAAGUAUCUGACGUUUCUUGCCAAUUGUUUGAUACGUUUCUUUCCAGCAUCAGUUCCAUCCUCGCCAGAGAUGAUUCUCAUAGAUGCGAUAAUUUGUUGGGCGACGGGAGGUGACAUGGCAAUUGCCUAUAUAUCCGCCAGCAGAUCCAAAACUUUUCGUAAAUGUUCCCAUAAGUAUAUCGAUUUCCCGAGGAUCUAUAUCAUAAUAAUCACAAACUCCUCGUCCAUGCUUCCCUAUUGCCCCUAUACUAUGAGCCUCGUCCACGUAAAGAUAGGCCUAAAUUUAAUGACAAUGAGUAUUAUUAACUCUUUGCGAUUGUAAUACUUUUUUGUAAUACUAGAAAUAUUUUUCGAUCGUAAAGAGUUAAGAACACAUAAUGAUAAUGAUAUAUUAUUGAAUAAUUCAGAACAAUGCCUCUUUGCAUAUUUCCAACAUUACCUAACAAAUGUGAAAUAAUCAAAUAUAAUGUCUUAACAUUUGUAUUAAAAUUAAUGAUAAUGAGUUCUUAUCAAUACUAUUACACUUUAUCCUCUAUUUCAAAAAAAUCCUGUUAUCAACAAUUAUACCAACUUUGUACUUUUUUUUCAGUUCCAGAAUUUCAGGAAGGUGGACUAUUGAUCCUUCCAUUGAAUAAAUACCCUCAACUAUUAUAAUUAUUUUCUUCCAUGGUUCACCAUUUUUAGGUUGACCAUAAACUAUUGCUUUUUUUAAAUGAUCCUCCAAAUGUUUUACAUCUGCAAUAAGGACAUGUACAUAUGUAGUUUAUCCUACACCUUUUAUAUCAUCUUAAUAAUAAUAUCCACUUACUGUUAUGGUGAAAAACACGUAUUGUUGCUCCUGAUAAUCGUAAUCCAAGAAUGAGUGACGCGUGAUUUUUUUCAUCGCUAAGUACCAAACAGCCUUUACUAACAAGGGAUGGCAAAUUUAAUGCAUUUGUUGCAAAUCCCAUCCCAAAUACUAUGGCAUCUUCAACUCCCAAAAAUGAAGCUGUUAAUUUUUCUAACUCUUCAUGGAUAGGUGCAUUUCCUAACAAACAAAAUAUGUUUUAAUUGAAAUUCUAUUUGAAUGUAUCGAUUGGUUUUGUUUUUACCUCGUUAUAUUAAAUAUAUAGUUUUACCUAAUUCAAGUCGAGUACUACAGCUGCUACAACCUAAUUUUUGGAGAACCAUGAUAGAUUGUUCCGCACAUGCUCCGCUUGAUUCUGCAAAGCCUAGAUAAUUGUAAGAUCCUAAAUUUAUGCAAGACCUUUCAGAUCCAGUAAACCUGUUGAUUGUGUCAAAUAUAAAUAUAUUAUUGUUACAUUAAUAUUAGCAAUUCAUAUAUAA